CUAAUCUAGCAAACGAAUUCACAACAGAGUGAUUUUAGAUGUUGUAGAACUAUAAGAUGUUAAGCUGUGCGUCUUUUUCAUAACAGUGACAUGGUUGUAUUUACCUUAAUUCAACGAGUCGUCAGUCGCGGUAAACCCAUCAGCAAAUAAACUGGAGCAGCCGUGCUAUGUAAAAAGUGUAGGGCGGGAGUGUGACACAGUCGCUCCACCUCAAGUCACUACUGCCAGGACUCGAGAAGGGUCUGGCUGCAGCCACUGUGGAGCUCCACAGUAACCGGAAACACGUGACCUCCACAGUAGCCGGAAACACGUGACCUCCACAGUAACCGGAAACACGUGACCUCCACAGUAGGCAGAAAUACGUUCCUGCGUGGAUCAUCGACUGCGGAAAUCUUGCAAGUGGAUCGUAAAGAUGCUCAUAUCAAUUUGGAGUUCUGCCUCCAAGCCAGAAUUGCAGUAAUGCACCACGUGUUGGCUGUUUCACUGCCCUCUGUGCCCCACUUUCAGCCCUAUUGUCAGGAGCAUAUAAAUGGACACAUUAAAAAUGCUUUGCCUUUCAAAGACAAAAUGAUAUACCGGUGCACUUUCACUGCCCUGUCUGUAACAUGACAGUCAUACAGCGUGGGGAUAUGGCAAGGCAAUUUUUCUCAUGUCAGCAUUCAGGACUGCUCCCCACUGAACUCUCCGUGGAGCCCCAUCUCCCUCUCGAUGUCUCCAGUAUCUAAACCAUUUUCUGAAUCUUCAGUAGAACAUUCAUGUGCUCUACCCUCUGUGCUAAAUGAAACUGUGGCUUGUGGAAAGUCCUUGAAAAUGAAACGCCCUCACUGUGGUCUUAGUCUUCUUGAAAAAAAACUUCAAGGCUCACAUGAUGAGGAGGCAUUCAAACAGAUCAAUAAAUGUUUGCCUGGCCUGUCAUCUGCAGUGUUUUUGUGUAGAGGGACUUCUUCCUCUUUGUUUUUCAGUUUGCAGAGGACAUGGAGCUCUUUUUAAAAGCUUGUGCUGAUGAGCAGGGACUAUGGGUCAAUGCGAUGUUUGACAUUUAAUGGACAGAUGAAGGCACUGGCCGUAUUUGUGUUUUUUAUGUGUUGUUUGUUUUUCAGUGUACAGAAUUCCAGUUAAACGUGUUAUUAAAUAUCCACUUGUUUCCAUGUCCAUACUUACAGUAAAAAAAUUAAGUGUAAAUGCAACAGCAUUGUUUAUACUUGUAACUUCAGAGUAAAAAGCUUAUUGUUGAUAUUAACAUUAAUAUAUUACCCUGUAAUCAAUAAUAUUUUUAUACAUUUUAUGCAUUAACCCUCUGAUCUCUAUCCUGGCCAUUUGUGGCCACUUCACUUCUUCUUUUUUUGACUACUACAUUGCAGUGGAUCAAAAGAAUGACACAGGUUUGAUCUUAAGGAUCUAAUACUUGUGUGUGUUUGUGCAUGACAUUGCAACGCAAAUAUGCAUUUGCAAGAUAAACUGAAAUAAAUUAUGACGCAUCAAAUAUUACACAGGCUGCAGUGAAUUUUUGUUGAUACUGGCUAUUGAGAUUUGAGUUUCCCAGUCACUAGCUUUGAAGCACAUGCUAAAAACACUUUUACUCUUGUACAUUUCAUAACAAGACACCAUAGCCAAAAUAUUAACAAAAUAUAUAUUAAUAAAAAAAUUCAAAGCUGCAGCUGCAGCACAUACAGCAACAAACACUGUUAGUAAAUGUGUCCGGGAGUUUAUGCAGGUGCAGAAAGUGCUGUUGCUGUAAGUAAGCCUAACAGCUUCCAGAUCACUUAUUUUUCUGGAAAGAUGGUAGGAAGGGCAUCACUGCUCAUUUCUAUAAUCUCCCAGAUCUUGGAAUACAAUGCCUUUGUACCAUGAAACCACUUCACAGUACUAGGAGUCCACUAAAACCUACAAAGAGAGUGAUCCUGGAAGAAAUGGGGCACACACUAGUGACCUCAACAAUUGCAA